rnacentral:rRNA from 1 species
UACGUAGGGUGCAAGCGUUGUCCGGAAUUAUUGGGCGUAAAGAGCUCGUAGGCGGUCUGUUGCGUCCGCUGUGAAAACUCGGGCUUAACCCCGAGCCUGCAGUGGAUACGGGCAGACUAGAGGUAGGUAGGGGAGAAUGGAAUUCCCGGUGUAGCGGUGAAAUGCGCAAGUAUGGCGAGGAACACCGGUGGCGAAGGCGGUUCUCUGGGCCUUACCUGACGCUGAGGAGCGAAAGCGUGGGAGC